GGUUAAGUGACUAAGCGUACACGGUGGAUGCCUUGGCAGUCAGAGGCGAUGAAGGACGUAGUAACUUGCGAUAAGCGUAGAUGAGGCAGUAACAGCCACUUGAGUCUACGAUUUCCGAAUGGGGAAACCCACUGGCAUAAGCCAGUAUCAUUGAGUGAAUACAUAGCUCAAUGAAGCGAACCGGGAGAACUGAAACAUCUAAGUACCCCGAGGAAAAGAAAUCAACCGAGAUUCCGAAAGUAGCGGCGAGCGAAAUUGGAUUAGCCCUUAAGCUUUACAUGUGUUAGACGAACGGUCUGGAAAGUCCGACGAUACAGGGUGAUAGUCCCGUAGUUGUAGAUGCAUGUUCAGUGAAAUCGAGUAGGGCGGGACACGUGUUAUCCUGUCUGAAUAUGGGGGGACCAUCCUCCAAGGCUAAAUACUCCUGACUGACCGAUAGUGAACCAGUACCGUGAGGGAAAGGCGAAAAGAACCCCUGUGAGGGGAGUGAAAUAGAACCUGAAACCGUGUACGUACAAGCAGUAGGAGCACCUUCGUGGUGUGACUGCGUACCUUUUGUAUAAUGGGUCAGCGACUUAUAUUCAGUGGCAAGGUUAACCAUCUAGGGGAGCCGUAGGGAAACCGAGUCUUAACUGGGCGCCAUAGUCUCUGGAUAUAGACCCGAAACCGAGUGAUCUAGCCAUGGGCAGGUUGAAGGUUGAGUAACAUCAACUGGAGGACCGAACCGACUAAUGUUGAAAAAUUAGCGGAUGACUUGUGGCUAGGGGUGAAAGGCCAAUCAAACUCGGAGAUAGCUGGUUCUCCCCGAAAGCUAUUUAGGUAGCGCCUCGGACGAAUACUACUGGGGGUAGAGCACUGUUAAGGCUAGGGGGUCAUCCCGACUUACCAACCCUUUGCAAACUCCGAAUACCAGUAAGUACUAUCCGGGAGACACACGGCGGGUGCUAACGUCCGUCGUGGAGAGGGAAACAACCCAGACCGCCAGCUAAGGUCCCAAAUUACAGCUAAGUGGGAAACGAUGUGGGAAGGCUUAGACAGCUAGGAUGUUGGCUUAGAAGCAGCCAUCAUUUAAAGAAAGCGUAAUAGCUCACUAGUCGAGUCGGCCUGCGCGGAAGAUGUAACGGGGCUAAGUUGUAA
rnacentral:rRNA from 1 species